rnacentral:rRNA from 1 species
UACGUAGGGUGCGAGCGUUGUCCGGAUUUAUUGGGCGUAAAGAGCUCGUAGGCGGUUUGUCGCGUCGGCCGUGAAAUCUCCACGCUUAACGUGGAGCGUGCGGUCGAUACGGGCAGACUGGAGUACUGCAGGGAGACUGGAAUUCCUGGUGUAGCGGUGGAAUGCGCAGAUAUCGAGGAGGAACACCGGUGGCGAAGGCGGGUCUCUGGGCAGUAACUGACGCUGGAGGAGCGAAAGCGUGGGGAGCGAACAGG